UAAGAUUCUCGGCCUCUUGGCUAAGAUCAAGUGUAGUAUCUGUUCCUCUCAGUUUUAUGCCGGUAUCAGACUAUGCCAGUAUUGAGUUGGUGGGGGAUGGGUGCUGCAUGGUAGGAGGCAUGUGUACCAAGGCGUUCCGGGGCUGGUUCUGAGGAAUCAGCUUGAUGGCUGCCCCGAUGUGACUAGCUUCC